AGUCGAGCGAACGGACGAGAAGCUUGCUUCUCUGAUGUUAGCGGCGGACGGGUGAGUAACACGUGGAUAACCUACCUAUAAGACUGGGAUAACUUCGGGAAACCGGAGCUAAUACCGGAUAAUAUUUUGAACCGCAUGGUUCAAAAGUGAAAGACGGUCUUGCUGUCACUUAUAGAUGGAUCCGCGCUGCAUUAGCUAGUUGGUAAGGUAACGGCUUACCAAGGCAACGAUGCAUAGCCGACCUGAGAGGGUGAUCGGCCACACUGGAACUGAGACACGGUCCAGACUCCUACGGGAGGCAGCAGUAGGGAAUCUUCCGCAAUGGGCGAAAGCCUGACGGAGCAACGCCGCGUGAGUGAUGAAGGUCUUCGGAUCGUAAAACUCUGUUAUUAGGGAAGAACAUAUGUGUAAGUAACUGUGCACAUCUUGACGGUACCUAAUCAGAAAGCCACGGCUAACUACUG
rnacentral:rRNA from 1 species